rnacentral:rRNA from 1 species
UGGGGGAUAUUGCACAAUGGGCGAAAGCCUGAUGCAGCGACGCCGCGUGGGGGAUGAAGGCCUUCGGGUUGUAAACUUCUUUUGCUCUGAACAAGGCGCACCAUGGGGUGUGUUGAGUGUAGGGGUUGAUUAGCGCCGGCUAACUACGUGCCAGCAGCCGCGGUAAUACGUAGGGCGCGAGCGUUGUCCGGAAUUAUUGGGCGUAAAGGGCUUGUAGGUGGCUGGUUGCGUCUGUCGUGAAAGCUCAUGGCUUAACUGUGGGUUUGCGGUGGGUACGGGCUGGCUUGAGUGCAGUAGGGGAGGCUGGAAUUCCUGGUGUAGCGGUGGAAUGCGCAGAUAUCAGGAGGAAUACCGGUGGCGAAGGCGGGUCUCUGGGCUGUCACUGACACUGAGGAGCGAAAGCAUGGGGAGCGAACAGG